GAGUACGGCCGCAAGGCUGAAACUCAAAGGAAUUGACGGGGGCCCGCACAAGCGGUGGAGCAUGUGGUUUAAUUUGAAGCAACGCGAAGAACCUUACCAGGUCUUGACAUCCUCUGAAAACCCUAGAGAUAGGGCGUCUCCUUCGGGAGCAGAGUGACAGGUGGUGCAUGGUUGUCGUCAGCUCGUGUCGUGAGAUGUUGGGUUAAGUCCCGCAACGAGCGCAACCCUUGAUCUUAGUUGCCAUCAUUAAGUUGGGCACUCUAAGGUGACUGCCGGUGACAAACCAGGUGGGGAUGACGUCAAAUCAUCAGCCCCUUAUGACCUGGGCUAACACGUGCUACAAUGGAUACAAAAGCUGCAAGACCGCGAGGUGGAGCUAAUCUCAUAAAACCGUUCUCAGUUCGGUUGUAGGCUGCAACUCGCCUACAUGUGGAAUCGCUAGUAAUCGCGGAUCAGCAUGCCGCGGUGAAUACGUUCCCGGGCCUU
rnacentral:rRNA from 1 species